CAGUCGCCGCGGUAAUACCGAGGGUGCGAGCGUUAAUCGGAUUUACUGGGCGUAAAGCGUGCGUAGGCGGCUUCUUAAGUCGGAUGUGAAAUCCCUGAGCUUAACUUAGGAAUUGCAUUCGAUACUGGGAAGCUAGAGUAUGGGAGAGGAUGGUAGAAUUCCAGGUGUAGCGGUGAAAUGCGUAGAGAUCUGGAGGAAUACCGAUGGCGAAGGCAGCCAUCUGGCCUAAUACUGACGCUGAGGUACGAAAGCAUGGGGAGCAAACAGGAUUAGAGACCCCUGUAGUCCCUGUCUCUUAUAC
rnacentral:rRNA from 1 species